AAAGAGCGGUGGCAGGGAUUACAGGAGAGAAGAAGAAGGGAAACAACAGACAGGAAGGAAAGGGAGGGAGACGUCUUGGGUAGAGACGGAAGGAAAAAAAAAAAAAGAGCCGAAGAAAAAGUUUUCAGAUGAGGAAAACAGAGCGAGUGGAUGACCGGGCUGAAGGGAGCAGAGAGGGGAGGAAACCAAUUUUCUAAGGCUGUUUUUUCUACACAAACCUCUGGACGUCUUUGGACAUGUACACAGACGGCUCGCAGGCGGCGGGACACCACCGGUUCAUUCAGCACCUCAACACCGCGGGCCCCUGCUCCUGCCAGCACUGCGUGCACCGCGAGCAGCCGGCGUACGGCCAUCGCGGCGGGCCGGGAUUCCGACCGGCACCAGCCCGGCGGACGGACCACCCGUCUCCAGGCUGCGGGAGAGACGCCCCGGCCCCUCGGGCUAAAGACGCAGGGGCCAGAGCUUACGUAGCGGACGGAGGCGGGAGAAGCGGCCAUCGCAGCCCACAGAGGAGGCCUGUGUUCGCAGGGCCGGACCCUCGCAGCCAGUCAGACGACCUGAGGCGAGCGUGCCCCUGGGAUUUGAACCCUGCCCAGUGGAGCCACCCGCCGGAGCCCGGGGCGAGACACUGCCCGUCUGUCAGAGAACAGUGUGGCUGUGUGGCGCGCGGCGACACCAGGGCGCACCCCUUCAACGCUGGGAUACCGCAUCCUCUCCCCCACCUGCAGGUCAGAGGUCAGGGAUACAGGCACCGGAGGACCGUCACAGUGGAAGAGGAGGGAGAGGAGUGCGGAUGCAACUUUGAGGGCUAUCGUUCGGAGCCACGCGAUCCCCACCUCGGUCGGACACACGCGCCGAAUGGCCACUGCGGCCCGAGGACCGGGUUCUUUGAAGGAGGGGAGGAAACAGAUAGCCAUCAGGCCCGGGGGAGACUGGAGGGUGGAUCAGACGAGGGCUGCAACGGAGGUGGUGGCUCUCACAAAGGUUUCUUCCCCACUGAAGUGCCACAAAAACACUUGAAGCAAAGAGAGAAGGGGCCCCGCGUCACACAUUCUGGCAUAUCCAGUCCCACAACCAACGGGGACCAUCAGAGCCAGGUUUCGGAUGUGGCGAAGCAGAAGAGGAGGCAAGAUUUGGUGAGGGAUAAAAUCCGACAGGUGGUGACAGAUCUGGAGGAUGUGUUGGGGGGUUUGAAGCAAGUUCACGUGGAGAUGAAAGAGGUGGUGCAGCAGAUUGAUCGCCUUACAGCCAGAAUCGACCUCAGCGAGGAGACGUCCUGCAUCACUCACGCCGGGGAGUCCAUUAACUUUCACGGCUCAGCUCAUCCAGACGACCUUACGGCGGCCCAGCAGCCCGAUCACAAGCCCGCUCCAGUUCGGGCGACGCAACACAUCGUCGAAGACCGGAUCAUACUAAGAACUAACUCUCCGUCGCCUGUUCACGUGGCGUCAGUCGUCAAAACGAGCCGCUUCACCCCACCCAGCAUCGCCAAGGACGUCAACCACGAAAGGACCGGCGCCAACGGCCACGCGCCUCACCUCCAUCGCCUCAGAGACUCCAACCACGUCGGCCAAGCUCACCCUGAGCCCCACCCGCACAGCCUGGAGCCCAAGGUCAUCAUUGGUAACAGCACCUCCGGUUCAAGAACUCAGAAGCCUCCUCUGUACCCCCAAAACGGGCGCUGUGGGAAAGGCCCGUAUCUGCCCCCCAAGCCCGUGAGGACCCCUGCCUGCCCCGCAAGAGGCUGCCAGAGCGCCAGCAAUGUGUGA
ensembl:lncRNA